rnacentral:rRNA from 1 species
CUGCAGCCCGAGUGGUGAUCGAUUUUAUUGAGCCUAAAGCAUCCGUAGCCGGCGCUGUAAGUUUUCGGUUAAAUCUGUACGCUCAACGUACAGGCUGCCGGGAAUACUGCAGCGCUAGGGAGUGGGAGAGGUAGACGGUACUCGGUAGGAAGGGGUAAAAUCCUUUGAUCUAUUGAUGACCACCUGUGGCGAAGGCGGUCUACCAGAACACGUCCGACGGUGAGGGAUGAAAGCUGGGGGAGCAAACCGGAUUAGAGACCCGAGUAGUCC